AAGGGCGCGUAGGCGGAUUNUCAAGUCUCUUGUGAAAUCCAACGGCUUAACCGUUGAACUGCUUGGGAAACUGANAAUCUAGAGUGGGGGAGAGGCAGAUGGAAUUGGUGGUGUAGGGGUAAAAUCCGUAGAUAUCACCAAGAAUACCCAUUGCGAAGGCGAUCUGCUGGAACUUAACUGACGCUAAGGCGCGAAAGCGUGGGGAGCAAACAGGAUUAGAUACCCUGGUAGUCCACGCCCUAAACGAUGUAUGCUAGUUGUUGGGGUGCUAGUCAUCUCAGUAAUGCAGCUAACGCAUUAAGCGUACCGCCUGGGGAGUACGGUCGCAAGAUUAAAACUCAAAGGAAUAGACGGGGACCCGCACAAGCGGUGGAGCAUGUGGUUUAAUUCGAAGAUACGCGAAGAACCUUACCUGGGCUUGAUAUCCUAAGAACCUUAUAGAGAUAUGAGGGUGCUAGCUUGCUAGAACUUAGAGACAGGUGCUGCACGGCUGUCGUCAGCUCGUGUCGUGAGAUGUUGGGUUAAGUCCCGCAACGAGCGCAACCCACGUAUUUAGUUGCUAACACUUCGGGUGAGCACUCUAAAUAGACUGCCUUCGUAAGGAGGAGGAAGGUGUGGACGACGUCAAGUCAUCAUGGCCCUUAUGCCCAGGGCGACACACGUGCUACAAUGGCAUAUACAAUGAGACGCAAUACCGCGAGGUGGAGCAAAUCUAUAAAAUAUGUCCCAGUUCGGAUUGUUCUCUGCAACUCGAGAGCAUGAAGCCGGAAUCGCUAGUAAUCGUAGAUCAGCCAUGCUACGGUGAAUACGUUCCCGGGUCU
rnacentral:rRNA from 1 species